UUGGAUGGGUUCUGGAACUUGCCAUUGUCACCAUUGGCUUCUUUGGCCUUGCCCUUGUCUUUGGUGCUAGAUGGCUCUAGCAGGUCCUUCAUGACUCUGCGUAGACUGAAACAAUCUAUCGCAGAGUGCUUGUGGUAUGGGUGCCAUGGGCACUAUUUCUUCAGAAGCUUGUUGAACGAGGGUCGAUCUUGAUUCUUGCUGCCACCUUUCUUGGACAACUGUGAGAUAGCCGCAACAACAUUGUCUGGCUUGCGCUUGCGGUUCUGACUUCCCGAAUAGUUGUUUCAGUUGUCAUUGUUGAGACGAUCGUUGCGGUUCUUGUCGGUGUGUUGGCCAUUGUUUUGAUUGUUGUUAUUCUAGACCUUGUUGCGAUUGGACUCGAACCUUUCAAUCUCCUUAUCUUCUUCAUCUGCC
rnacentral:lncRNA from 1 species